GGGACCAGCUCCGGUUAAUCAAAACAUAAUUGUGUUUAAUUCCUCGAAAUCUUUAACUUUUUCCUGUAUGCUGGAUGUAGCCUCCAUAAAUAUGGAGCAUUUGUUGUGGCUGCUCCAUGGAUGCCCAGGAAACACUUGAGAGGUAAAACCAACAUCCUGAGACAGGAGACAAGGCCAGCUUUUGACACCGGGCUGGACCUGCGAGGCCGAAGGAAACCUGGAGCCAGGAAGCGGCCGCCGCCGGGGUCACGCCGCCGGGGACCCCACUCCUUGCCGCGCUCCACAGGCUUGCCCGGCCUUUUCAUGGGAAAUUUGCUGGAAAUUUGCUGAUCUGCAUUAAGCAUUUAUUGAAAUGGGGGGGAAGGGGGGGAAGAGCCUUCCCUUUGCUUCUUGUGGUUUGUGUGGUGUUAAGUGGGGGAUUAUAAUGUAUGCGGGUACUUGGAGACCCUGCAUCCAUGUUUUACCCGCUGUGUGAUACACAUGGAAAAUUAUGGAUACCUCACUCUAGCAGAUCCCUUCAAUUUGCUUGUAUUUGUUAAAACUUUGGAGAGAUCACCGAAUGCUUAAUGCUUCAUUUAUGAUUUAUGCACCAUAAAUGUAUUAAAACAUUAACCAUAUUUCUGC
rnacentral:lncRNA from 14 species